UCUCUGCAAAGGCAGGAAGAAACUAAGCAGGUGUUGAGGGCCUGAUUCUCCUGGGGAAUACACUGGAGCAAUGUUGGUUCGAGACCAGAAAUGAUGUAAUCGGGUCACUGGCAACAAAAACGAAGACGAGGAAAACUCCAGGGUUCUGUAUCUCGGGUGUGAAGAUUGAGAUAUAACACCAUGGCCAGUGAGGGGGUAGUAAAGGAUGCCUCGUCUAAGAGAACAGCUUCCAGAUUUGAACGAGACUCCGGAACUACUACAGCCAUCUUGCUACCAUCCCGAUGAUGCAACCAACCCAAAGCAGAGAGCAGAGCCAAAGGAACUGCAGAAAAGCAGUACCAGGAUAUAUUGUGGAUGGAGUCUAAUCUACAUCUAAACUUCUUAUUAUGAAUCCAAGCAGGGUUCUGCUAGGUGGUUCAUCUGUUCCAUCAACUAAGGUCAUUCAGUGACAUGCAGCUGGCUAAUGGGAUGAUCUGAAGAGUCAAAGAUGGCUUCCCUCACAUAUUUGGCAUCUUGGUGGUGAUGGCUGGAAGUCUAGGCUCACCUGGCACCUUCAACCAGAGGACGUACUUGUGGCCUCUCCAGCAUGGCCGUCUCAAGACAGGAAUGCCUUACCUUGACUGUCUGGAGCCAGGAAAAAGGGAAGCAACCUUAUAUGAGGAAGGAGAACGCCAUGGCGGUGGUUGUAAAGUCGUGUUUGGAAGCUAGAUUUCUCUAGACCACUAAGGUACCCACUGAGAGUCUUCUGUGUGCCAGAUACUGUGCCAGCCAUCCUCAUGGGUUAACUCCUGAUUGUUCAUGUGCUAAUGACACCCAGCUCUCUGAAGGCCACACCUCUCCCUUCAGAUUCACACUUGUACAUUCCUAUGGUAGAUAUUUUAUAAAUAGUUCCAGAAUGAAUGGAUAAGUGAAUGAAUGCUUUUCCCCUGAAGUUCCAAGUGCAACAUAUCUAACAAUGAAAUCCUCUUUCAGCCUGAUCCUAUUCCUAUUUGUACUUGGUAAUACCCUCAAAGAUAAAAACCUCAGGGUCAUCCUUGCCUUGUCGCUCUUGUCUCCUUCACAUGAAGUUUCACUGAUUUUGACAUGAUAUUUCUUAAGUCUAUCCUCUUCUCCCCGAUCUCCACUCUUCCUCCCCUAACUCAGACCCAUAUCACCUUCUGCUUGGAUGCUGCCACAGCCUCCCAACUGGUCUGCCUGCCUCUAAGUGUGUCCACAUAGCUGUCACGCUCUCCUGCUUCAGUGGCUCUCCAUUGCCUAUUGAACAAAGCUCACGCUCCUUAACACACUAAAUAAAGUUCCCUGUGUCCUAGUCUCUGCCUUCCUUUCCAGCCUCACCUUGAGAAUGACUUGCCCUGAAUGUUGGUGUUUUCCUGCACACAGCCACAGGUUCAUGCCACCAUGGCUUUGCUCAUGCUCUACUCUAUGUUUGGAAUAUGGCCCACCCUGUAAUCCCAUUUGAAUACAUCAGUGUGAGCGUCAGCUGAGGCGCUGGAUCCUCUAGGAAGCCUUGUUGACCCUCUUCAGGCUGAGCUGCCCUCUAGUCAGCUCAAUAGCACACUAGGCAUCCCUCUAUCCUUGCAUUAUAAAGACCAGGUCCUCUUGCUAUCACCUGGACUCCCAUGUGAAUUCCUUGAAGAUGUGGGCUUAUCUUGUUCAUCCUUGAUUCCCCAGUGCCUAGCCAGCACCUUAAACGUAGUAGGACUUCAAAUAAAUGUCCGUUGAAGGAGUAUUUCUUCUUAAGUAGAACAGAUAUUUUAGCCUUGGUAGCUUUCACAGUGUGAAAAGAGUACCCUCUAAAAUACUAAAAGCUAAAGGAUAUUGACCAAGACUGAGAUAUAGAAGGUUACCAGCAGAAACUUGGAGGUAAUCUAAUUUGCAUUUUCUGGCCCAAAAGAUUAACUCUCAAGACCAAAGGCAAAUGCUAAUGACCCUAAAAUAUAUGCUGGUCUGAUACCAGGGAUGAGAAGAAUGACUAAUAAAAAAACAGGUAUUUCUCUAGCUUAACAGUUUUUUUACUUACAGUCAGAUCUUCUAAGCCUUAUCCUGAAUUUUCAGACUAAUGUUUUCUGAAUUAAUUUGGAAUAUUUAUAGAUUGUCAACCAGUCAGAGCAGAGUGAGCUGGGAGAGAAGAGUAGGAAAUGAGAUGAGAAGAGGUAUCUUGGGUCAGAUCACACUUUUGCUUUUGCUUUGGUAAGAUGGAAAACCAUCGAAGGCUGUUGAUCAGAGGAGUGACAUGAUGUAAUUUAAUGUUCUGAUAGAAUCAUUCUGGCUGCUUAGAGGAGACUUAACUAGGCAGUGUGGGCAGAAGUCAAGAGACCAGUUAGGAGGCUGCUGCAAUAGUGUAGGCGAAAGAUAAUGGCAGCUUGGACCAGGGUGGUAGCAGAGGAGGUAAAAAAGUUGUCAGAUUAUAGGUAUAUAUUGAAGACUCCACCAAAAGAAUUUGCUGGUGAUUGGAUGUAGAUUGUGGAGAGCGAAGAAAAUGACGAGUCUAAGGGAUUUUGGCUUGAACACCUUCAAGGAUGGACUUGUCACUGGGAAGAGCAGUUUUGGGGGGAAAUCAGGAGUUCAGUUCUGGUCCCUUUUUAAGUCUAAGAUGCCUAUUUAGAUAUACAAGUAGAGUGUUGCAUAGUCAAGUUGUGGAUACCUGUCUGGAGUCCAGAAGAGAGUUCAAAGCUAGAGUAGAUUUUGGAGGUUGUUAGCAUGCUGAUAGUAUAUGCAGCCAUGAGUUAGGCUAGGGUCAUCUAGCAGGUCUGUGUGAAUAGAGGUUUGAAAACGAACCUGGGACAGUCCAGUAUUCAGAGGUUGGGAAAAUAAAGAGGCAGCAGCAAAAGAAACUGAGGAGGGACGAAUGAGAAAGGAGACCCAAGAGGCAGUGAGUGGGUGGUGACUCAGAGGCCAAGUGAAGAGAGAUUAUUGUGCUGGAGUAAGAAAGAAGCUACCAAAUUCUAAUUUACCCCAAGUCUUAGUGGAUAGUAUAUUUCUGUGUGUGUAUAAUUUUUUUGGCCUGGGGGCACCCAGCUACCAUAUUUUCUCUUUGCUCCCAUGCCCUAGAAAUUCUGAGUCCAUGCGGACCGGGACUUCACUUCUGGGUGUGUGUGGUUGAGAAUUUGACGAGUUCUCAUUUCCUCUUGUGGCAGCUGCAGGAUGAGUUCCCCUUCCUCUCUGCACUUCUAAGGAAAGCCUGAAGCACUAAACAUCAGCCAGGGCUGCCCAUUCGUAAAUUCAUUCAUUCACUCACUCAUUCACCAGAUAGUUACUUGGAAUUUACAAAGUGCAGUUGCCUUCCUAGCACUGAGGAUAAAGCCAUGAACUACGCAGUCCCAGCAGCAUCCUUGCCAACAGGGAGCUUACAUUCCAGUGGAAUUGGGGGAGAGGUGGAAGAGGGAGACAAUGUGUGUGUGGGGACAACAACCAAGCAAAAUAACUUCAAACUGUUGUGCAUGCACUGGAGAAAACAAUCGGGAGUCUAAGAUAUAGAAUAACAAUGGAGACUAAGAGGGAGGACCCCUUUCAAAUGGGAGGGCAGAGAAGCUUCUCUGGAGGGUUAGAUCCAGAUGUCUCCAAAGUAACCAGCAAAUCUUUUUCUGUUUAGAGUCCGGAAUUGAACCUGUGUUCCCAGUUCCUGGAACCCCCCUGAGGCUCUUGGUUUCCUCCUGGUUUAUCAGAACAAUGGAGGAAACUUGCCUCCAGUUCUAUCUUCAUGUGAGCACCUACCUUUACAAUUUACAGUACUACUUUAAAAAAUAAGUUCUUUUACAAUUUUAUCCAACAUCAGCCAGAGGAAACAAAAGAUUAUAAAAAUGGAAUUUAUCAAAGUUCACCUUCCAACAAAGUAGUUAGUUACCAUUUAACUUAGCGAACUUUUUUUGAACACUUACUACAGUGCAAACACUGAUCUACUAAGCAUUUUAUGUGCAUCCUAUCCUUUAAUCUUCACAACAGCCCUGUGAGGUAGGUACUGUAGUCAUCCUUAUUUUACAUUUAAAAAACCUGAGGCUUAGAGAGAUUGACUGUCCAGGCAGAGCAAGUGGAAGAGCAGUGGUUAAAAUCCAUAUCUAUCUAAUGCUCAAGAUUUUGCUUUUAGUGUUACUUUGAAAAAGGCAAUUUGAGGACAUUCUUAACUAUGUCUUUUAAGUACUGCAGUCCUUAUCUUCACCAAAUUAUUGUCAGAUAAGAAACUAAAAUACAAGUUUGCAGAUGCUAAGAUUUCUCCACAGUUGAAUAAUCUUUGGGGUAUUUGAGUGACAAACCUGUUUUAAUGAUGGUAGUCAAAUCCUGUCCUAAAGAGAAAGUGUAUUGGUUUGUGAUUGCAAGUUUAAAAACAGCCCAACAUCAUCUUUCAGGAAUGCUAUAAAAAGAAAUUCAAGGCAGUAUUUCUUUUUUUUUUUAACUUUUUUGUUUUGCUUUUUCUCCCCAAAUCCCCCCAGUACAUAGUUGUAUAUACAU